UGGGGAAUAUUGGACAAUGGGCGCAAGCCUGAUCCAGCCAUGCCGCGUGAGUGAUGAAGGCCUUAGGGUUGUAAAGCUCUUUCGCCAGGGACGAUAAUGACGGUACCUGGAUAAGAAGCCCCGGCUAACUUCGUGCCAGCAGCCGCGGUAAUACGAAGGGGGCUAGCGUUGUUCGGAAUCACUGGGCGUAAAGCGCACGUAGGCGGACAAUUAAGUCAGGGGUGAAAGCCUGGGGCUCAACCUCAGAAUUGCCCUUGAUACUGGUUGUCUAGAGUCCGGUAGAGGUGAGUGGAACUGCUAGUGUAGAGGUGAAAUUCGUAGAUAUUAGCAAGAACACCAGUGGCGAAGGCGGCUCACUGGACCGGUACUGACGCUGAGGUGCGAAAGCGUGGGGAGCAAACAGG
rnacentral:rRNA from 2 species